rnacentral:rRNA from 1 species
UAAUACGAACUGUGCAAACGUUAUUCGGAAUCACUGGGCUUAAAGGGUGCGUAGGCGGUCAUUUAGGUAGGGUGUGAAAGCCCCCGGCUCAACCGGGGAAUUGCGCCCUAAACCGGGUGACUGGAGUGAGAUAGGGGUGUGUGGAACUUCCGGUGGAGCGGUGAAAUGUGUUGAUAUCGGAAGGAACGCCGGUGGCGAAAGCGACACACUGGGUCUCAACUGACGCUGAGGCACGAAAGCCAGGGGAGCAAACGG